CCUAGUUUCCCAGUGCUGGAAUAUAGAAAAUGGAUGGACAAGUAAAUCCCACUCAGCACCCAUAGUCCAGCUGGACCUACCAUGAAAGACUUCUGAAUCCAGGAAGAGAAACUGGCUGGGCAACAUGUUAUUCAGAAACAGGACCUUGCCCUGUCACUCAGGAUGGAGUUCAGUGGUCCUAUCAUGGCUCAUUAUAGCCUCAAACUCCCAGGCUCAAGCAAUCCUACCAUGUCAGCCUUCCCAGUAGCUGGGACUACAGAAAGUGACCUCACAAUGACUCAAGCUACCACAUACUGUUGAUUGUGAAAUGCCAGUUGAAGCAUAUGUCCUGCGAGCUUAGGGGUGCUACAAGUUGACCACAGCAGCAGUAAAGAUGACUCUGAAGAAUGGCAUGGGAUGGAUCCUUUCGAAUGCAUUUGAGCAGCGGUCUCCAACCACAGGGCCACAGAGCUGGAGGUG
rnacentral:lncRNA from 10 species